AGUGAACGCUGGCGGUAGGCCUAACACAUGCAAGUCGAACGGCAGCACAGUAAGAGCUUGCUCUUACGGGUGGCGAGUGGCGGACGGGUGAGUAAUACAUCGGAAUCUACUUUUUCGUGGGGGAUAACGUAGGGAAACUUACGCUAAUACCGCAUACGACCUACGUGUGAAAGCAGGGGAUCUUCGGACCUUGCGCGAUUGAAUGAGCCGAUGUCGGAUUAGCUAGUUGGCGGGGUAAAGGCCCACCAAGGCGACGAUCCGUAGCUGGUCUGAGAGGAUGAUCAGCCACACUGGAACUGAGACACGGUCCAAACUCCUACGGGAGGCAGCAGUGGGGAAUAUUGGACAAUGGGCGCAAGCCUGAUCCAGCCAUACCGCGUGGGUGAAGAAGGCCUUCGGGUUGUAAAGCCCUUUUGUUGGGAAAGAAAAGCAGCAGGUUAAUACCCCGCUGUUCUGACGGUACCCAAAGAAUAAGCACCGGCUAACUUCGUG
rnacentral:rRNA from 1 species